UUGCCAGACUCCUACGGGAGGCAGCAGUGGGGAAUAUUGGGCAAUGGGCGCAAGCCUGACCCAGCAACGCCGCGUGAAGGAAGAAGGCUUUCGGGUUGUAAACUUCUUUUAAGAGGGAAGAGAAGAAGACGGUACCUCUUGAAUAAGCCACGGCUAACUACGUGCCAGCAGCCGCGGUAAUACGUAGGUGGCAAGCGUUGUCCGGAUUUACUGGGUGUAAAGGGCGUGCAGCCGGGAAGACAAGUCAGAUGUGAAAUCCCGCGGCUCAACCGCGGAACUGCAUUUGAAACUGUUUUUCUUGAGUACCGGAGAGGUCAUCGGAAUUCCUUGUGUAGCGGUGAAAUGCGUAGAUAUAAGGAGGAACACCAGUGGCGAAGGCGGUCUGCUGGACAGCAACUGACGCUGAGGCGCGAAAGCGUGGGGAGCAAACAGGAUCAGAUACCCGAGUAAAA
rnacentral:rRNA from 1 species